rnacentral:tRNA from 2 species
GACUCUGUAGUGAAGUUCAUGUUGAGUUGCAAGCUCAUCGAUAUGUGCUCGGAGCGCAUCAGAGUCU